rnacentral:rRNA from 1 species
AACGAACGCUGGCGGCAUGCCUAACACAUGCAAGUCGAACGAGACCUUCGGGUCUAGUGGCGCACGGGUGCGUAACGCGUGGGAACCUGCCCUUAGGUUCGGAAUAACUCCCCGAAAGGGGUGCUAAUACCGGAUAAUGUCUUCGGACCAAAGAUUUAUCGCCUUUGGAUGGGCCCGCGUUGGAUUAGCUAGUUGGUAGGGUAAAAGCCUACCAAGGCGACGAUCCAUAGCUGGUCUGAGAGGAUGAUCAGCCACACUGGGACUGAGACACGGCCCAGACUCCGACGGGAGGAAGCAGGGGGGAAUAUUGGACAAGGGGCGAAGGCCUGAUCCAGCAAUGCCGCGUGAGUGAUGAAGGCCGUAGGGUUGUAAAGCUCUUUUCCCCGGGAUGAUAAUGACGGUACCGGAAGAAUAAGCCCCGGCUAACUCCGUG